GUUAUAAGGAAAAAUAUUUUGGAGUGUAGAGGCAUGACUCCAAAUUAGAGCUCUUUAAGAGGGAUUUAGAAAGGUCUAACAAAAAUGCAAGAUGAACAACCAAUUCUAAGACAUGCACUGAGUUAUUAGGUGUUUAAAGUUUCCACUGUAAAUUGAAUUACUAUAAUAAUAAGGCGUAAAGAGUUGUGACAAUGGACCCCAAGUGUGCUAACUCACACCAGAAAAAUGCAAGUAGGGAGGGAUUUUAGGUUCAGGAAUACCAAUUUUAGUUUUGAAAUAAAUAGAAUUCUAAACUUUAUAUUGUCUUUAUUUAUUAUCAUAGAUAAUUAUGAUGAAAAGCUUGACCUACUUUGUAGGGUAUCCACUGAAAAAGAAAAACCAAACAGGUGUGAUACCCAUCCUUAGCUGAAUCUGUGCAGUUCUGAGAAAUGGGUAUGGAUGGAAAACAACUCUGGGGUGUUGUCCAUUUGGGACUUUGGGACUACUGGGGUUCCCUCAUCAUUUUGCUAUGACUGGAUCUAGGUAGAUGACAGGAUUAAGGCUCAGAUAAAUCUGUAUCGUCUGUAAUGAGAUUUCAAAAUAAAAAAUGAAAAAGGAUUUCCAGACGAAUAGUCCAGAGCCCUUUGGUACAAUGUACAAACUAUGUCAAAAUCAGCUCCUAAGAUGUCGAGGUUAUUUUAAAAGCCUUCAGAACCUGUGUGCAUGAAACAUUUUCCCGGUGGCCCCGGCUGCGGCGGAGCCUCCCCUUAACCCGAGUGUUUCCAGCGCCGCGCCACGGCGGGGCCCGGGACCGGCCCGGGACAGGAGCGGUGGGGCCGGGCGCGGGGGGACCGCGGCCACCACGAGCCCCGUCGCCUUACCGCGGCCACCGAGGGCCGCCCGCGGUCGCCACCAACUUCUCAGCGGCGGCGGCAGCAGCAGCGCAAGUUGGCAGCCGCCGGCUGCUCGCCUCGGGCAAGAGCGGGAGGGCGGCCCAAGCUCCUCUGCUGGCGAAGCCAAAAAAAAAAAAAAAAAAAAAAAGGAAAGAAAGAAAAGGGAAAAGGGAGGAGGAAGGCAGAGGAACGACAGAACGGCAGACAGACGGCGGCCGGCUCCAGUGUCUUCUCAGAGGAGCUGGAGUGCAGUGAAAUCUCGUGAUAAUGAAGUCUCCAGAGAAGACAGCCACUCGCUAGGCUGUUAUUAAGACUGUGGCUUGCUUCUGUUUCACACAUGCACCUGCUCACAUGGCAAAAUAAAAGCAAUUGUUUCUAAAACA
rnacentral:lncRNA from 1 species